AAACUUUCCAGCCUUCACGAGAAACUUCUUCUUCCUUCUAUGGUCCAGUUUUUGAUUUCAAAUUCACCCAAACUCAAACCUCCAUUUUUAUUCAACUUCUGAGCUUCGUUUGAAGAAGUGGCAGAAGGGAAAGUUGCUCCUUGCCACGCUGCGGUACUAGUGAGCCAACUUUGGAAGCGACGACGCGAACUAAAAUUUUACCGGAAUUAAUCACGGUGCCGUAGUCGCUUGUUAGAGCUAUCGUUAAGGUAAGGGCUCAUUCCAAACUUUUAGUUUGCAUUUAGGAAAUUAUUUGUGAUUUGAUGGAAUAGAAAUUUGAUGUAUUUGAGGUGUAGAUUUGUGGAAAAUAAAUUUGAUGUGUUUGAGUUUUCAAAUAAAUGAGUUUGAAUUGAAGUUGAAAUUUAUGUUAAUUUCUUUAUUUAUUUUUCUUCUCUUUUUUUUUUCUCCUUUUGAUUCUUGAUUCUGUUUUAGUUGCUUAAAUUGAUUGGAAUCUUGAAUUUAUGUGUUGAUGACUUCAUCAAUUCAUUUUUUUAUGGAGAAGAGAUUGAAACAAAAUGUUGCACUCAAGAUGCUUGAUGUUAUGUUUAGCUUGAUUGAAUUUUGUUUUUCAUGACUAAACUUGAUUUUAAUGGAUGCUUAAUUCAUUUGCCUUGGUUAAUCCUUUUCUAGAUACAUUUCUAGUAGCGAAUACAUGAAUUUCAUUUAAGCUUUUAAGUGGAAUUCUAAAUCAAGAACUAAAUUAACAUUUGAUGUUCCUUUGAGAUUAAUGAUAAGUUAAACCCAAGAAUUGUUGAAUCCCUUGGAUUGUUGUUAUAAAUCAUUGUUUUCAAUUCUAUCUGUUUAUGUUUAUGUAGUUAGCUCCUUGAGUCUCGAAAAGGAAUCGAGACCGUUGGCACCGAGUUAGCGGUGGGGAGAACUCUGAUAUAUUAAUGUUGUUGUGGUAAUUUAUGGUUGAAUAUUUUGGAGAUUGAAUAUGAGUGAUUAAUGUUUGAAAAUUUGUGGUGAUUGAUGAUUGAACUUGGUAUGGAUUUUGUGGUUUUUAAAUUGAUCGAAUUUAAUGUAAAUUGUGGAUUAAAUUUGAUGUGUGUGGUGAAAAUAAUUGUUUCAGUAUGCUCUGUGUGGAAUUUGAAAAUCAUUAGUGUUUAAAUGAGUAUUAAAAAUGAGGAAUCUAUUAAUAGUUGCAUUUAUUUAAUGAUUAUCGUGGAAAAUCCUGCAUUUCAUUGUACAUGGCGACCGGAUGGGCCAUGGUGAUAGUGGUGACUGAAUGGGCCAUGAGAUGAUGCCUUGUGAUUUGUUGGUUCAUCUUAUCCUUGCAGGGAUUGUCACGUCGUGUAAGGUCCGUGAUAGACUACACAUUUUUGGUAAAUCGUGCUGACUCGUGAUAGGUGGCACCUCGGUAAAUAGUACUUCGGCCUGUGUUAGGCGGUACAUUUACGAUUUACGUUUUUAGUAAAUCGUGUUGACCCGUGAUAGGUGGCACCUCGGUAAUUUAGUAUUUCGGCCUGUGAUAUGCGGUACAAUUAUGAUUUACGACCCUUCGAGAUGGGUUUUGAUUGGAAUUUCGAGUCCAUGCAUUUUGAUUAAUGUUAUGAUUACAUAUGUAAACUCAAGUGGUUGUUGUGUUUGUGCCAUAAUUGUUAAGUGUGAUUGUUUGGAUUUGUGUGGAAGUGUUGAUGGAUUGUGAAACCUCUUUAAAAGCUGAUUUUUGUUGUUUUCUGUUGUUUUCUGAUGUGUAUUCGAAUACAAGAGGCUUGUGUUCGAAUACAAACAUCCUGUUUUUGCUACUGACUUAUGAAACAGCUGUGUAGUCGAAUACACUGAGCUUGUAGUCGAAUACAAGCAUCCUGUUUUUGCUACUGACUUCUGAAACAGCACUGUAUUCGAAUACAAGGAUGCUAUAUUCGAAUACGACAAUGCAGUUUUGUUUAAAACUCCAUUUUUCAACUUCGAUUAUGCAUGUUUAACAUAUGGAAACCCUUUCAAGGUGCAUGCUAAGUUGAAAGGCCAUUUUAUGCAUUUGAAAUUUAAAUGUUAUGUGUUAUUUGUUAAUUUCGGUUGGUGACCCUUUACAACUAUUGUGGAAAUUUGGGCUUUGCCCUCAGAUGAGAACCAUGAUCUUCCCACCAGUUAGUACCCUGUAGAUGGGAAGGUAGUUGGACACACCUGACUGGAGUUGUGUCAGGAGGAUCUUGCAGGGCACAUGGAGAUCACCCGGGUCGUAUAGUUUUUGUAGUAUGAUCAGAUUAG
rnacentral:lncRNA from 1 species